rnacentral:rRNA from 1 species
UACGGAGGGUGCGAGCGUUGUCCGGAAUCAUUGGGCGUAAAGGGCGCGUAGGCGGCACUGUUAGUCAGGCGUGAAAUUCCUGGGCUCAACCUGGGGACUGCGCUUGAUACGGCAGAGCUAGAGGAUGGAAGAGGCUCGCGGAAUUCCCAGUGUAGAGGUGAAAUUCGUAGAUAUUGGGAAGAACACCGGUGGCGAAGGCGGCGAGCUGGUCCAUUACUGACGCUGAGGCGCGACAGCGUGGGGAGCAAACAGG